UCUCUCUCCUUAUCCCUUCACACGCACGCCUACCCAUCGAAGCCACCGCAUACCACGCCGCAAGUCGCCUGAGGCCCUCAUGCCGCCGCCGCUCGCCCCUUUCUCUGUAUGUCGCCAACGCAAACCUGUGCCCCAGGGUCGUUCCCUCCUUCACACAAGGCUCGAGGAAGCCCAAGGAGGCGGCCAUGAGGAGCACGCAGCCACCGGAGUCCUGGGCAGAUCUAGCCGGGGCAGUCGACAGCCAUCCCUCCCUCCGGGCGGCCAUGAAGAAUUUAAGCGGCUUGAGUAGAACUAGCAAAUGGACCAUGCGCGCCUCCCGCGCUAGGAGCCACCGGUCCUCGUUAUCUGCUAGCAUCCACGAGGAAUCCAUCCAUAUAAUGUUACGACAUUUAAAAAUGUCAAAGGAUGUGACGAUGCAACAAAAGAACUUGAGUAGUGUUCUACUCACCUUGGUGGAAAGGCACCAAAGGACAGAUGGAUAUAUGCUUAUGGCCACACGUAUAGAGGUUGGCGAUCAACUCUCAAAAUUCAUAGUAUACACAAGAAAAAGUUCUCAAAAUUGUGGAAGAGCAAUACAUAGAGGCUGGCGAUCAACUCUAAGUUUCACUUACAAGGCAUACAAAACAGAUGCAUCUAGAUUGGUUAUCUGCUGGAAGAUUUACAACCAGAAGAGAGGGAAUGGAUGAUUGAGUACUUUGGCACUGAUUCAAAGUUUUAGGACCACAGCCGAAAGAACACCAAUAGUCGUAAGAAACAGAAGACAAAACACAAAAUUGGAUCCAAAACUUACUCGCAACUAAGUUUUGAGAAGAGAAACUUGGAAACUGGAGAAGAGCCAGAUUGUAUUGUUCUGUGGGAACUCACCCACACAAAGAAUGGAACAUGGUCUAACACGGAGUCCCAGGAUGUUUACGUCAAAGCACGUCUAAGAUGUUGAAAACAAAGAAACUGAAACUCAUGGUCCGCUUUCAAGAUCCAAAGAACUAGCUCGAUUGGACUCUAGAUCACGGACAAUUUAGUCUUGGAACUUAAUUAGGAUGGCUAAAUUACAUUUGAUGGAUAUUUGCUAUGAGAAUUAUGAAUUUUAUGAAUCUACAUAUUAUACGUGUGGUUUUAAAUAUUGUAAUUGAAUGCCUUUUUUUAGGUUGCAAUAGGCUAUUGCCACAACCCACUUUUGGUUGCCA